GAUGAACGCUGGCGGCGUGCUUAACACAUGCAAGUCGAACGGUGAAGCCCAGCUUGCUGGGUGGAUCAGUGGCGAACGGGUGAGUAACACGUGAGCAACCUGCCCCUGACUCUGGGAUAAGCGCUGGAAACGGCGUCUAAUACUGGAUACGAGUAGCGACCGCAUGGUCAGUUACUGGAAAGAUUUAUUGGUUGGGGAUGGGCUCGCGGCCUAUCAGCUUGUUGGUGAGGUAAUGGCUCACCAAGGCGUCGACGGGUAGCCGGCCUGAGAGGGUGACCGGCCACACUGGGACUGAGACACGGCCCAGACUCCUACGGGAGGCAGCAGUGGGGAAUAUUGCACAAUGGGCGCAAGCCUGAUGCAGCAACGCCGCGUGAGGGAUGACGGCCUUCGGGUUGUAAACCUCUUUUAGCAGGGAAGAAGCGAAAGUGACGGUACCUGCAGAAAAAGCGCCGGCUAACUACGUGCCAGCAGCCGCGGUAAUACGUAGGGCGCAAGCGUUAUCCGGAAUUAUUGGGCGUAAAGAGCUCGUANGCGGUUUGUCGCGUCUGCUGUGAAAUCCGGAGGCUCAACCUCCGGCCUGCAGUGGGUACGGGCAGACUAGAGUGCGGUAGGGGAGAUUGGAAUUCCUGGUGUAGCGGUGGAAUGCGCAGAUAUCAGGAGGAACACCGAUGGCGAAGGCAGAUCUCUGGGCCGUAACUGACGCUGAGGAGCGAAAGGGUGGGGAGCAAACAGGCUUAGAUACCCUGGUAGUCCACCCCGUAAACGUUGGGAACUAGUUGUGGGGUCCAUUCCACGGAUUCCGUGACGCAGCUAACGCAUUAAGUUCCCCGCCUGGGGAGUACGGCCGCAAGGCUAAAACUCAAAGGAAUUGACGGGGACCCGCACAAGCGGCGGAGCAUGCGGAUUAAUUCGAUGCAACGCGAAGAACCUUACCAAGGCUUGACAUAUACGAGAACGGGCCAGAAAUGGUCAACUCUUUGGACACUCGUAAACAGGUGGUGCAUGGUUGUCGUCAGCUCGUGUCGUGAGAUGUUGGGUUAAGUCCCGCAACGAGCGCAACCCUCGUUCUAUGUUGCCAGCACGUAAUGGUGGGAACU
rnacentral:rRNA from 1 species